rnacentral:rRNA from 1 species
AACGAACGCUGGCGGCAUGCCUAACACAUGCAAGUCGAACGAGACCCUUCGGGUCUAGUGGCGCACGGGUGCGUAACGCGUGGGAAUCUGCCCUUGGGUUCGGAAUAACAGUUAGAAAUGACUGCUAAUACCGGAUGAUGACGUAAGUCCAAAGAUUUAUCGCCCAGGGAUGAGCCCGCGUAGGAUUAGCUAGUUGGUGAGGUAAA